AUACAGACGUGUUUGGCAAAAUUAUUCCCAGUAUUGAUUAUUUUAUGUGUUGAAAUAUUGCUAAAGCCACGAGUCCGGCGAAGCUUAUACAGUUGGCGUUGGCCAUCACCAAGAUGUCUACCACUGCAGCGACGGUCCGGUGUAGCGAUGAUUCUACAUUUGACGUGAUGGCAGUUUCGUUGGACGUCUCGAGACUGCGAACCAACCGGCAUCGGCAGUACCAGAUCGAGGGGAGUUACAAUAACACUGAUCGAUUGUAGAUUAUUCAAAGAGUUUCUUGAUAGCUGUUUAUAAUAUGGUGUGAAAUUAAUUAAAUAAAGUACAA